CCCUGGGUGGUGCAAAUGGUUAACAUACUUGGCUGCUAACCAAAAGUUUGGAGGUUCAAGUCCACCCAGAGGUU
rfam:Loxodonta africana unplaced genomic scaffold scaffold_32, whole genome shotgun sequence.